rnacentral:rRNA from 1 species
GACGAACGCUGGCGGCGUGCUUAACACAUGCAAGUCGAACGGAAAGGCCCUGCUUUUGUGGGGUGCUCGAGUGGCGAACGGGUGAGUAACACGUGAGUAACCUGCCCUUGACUUUGGGGUAACUUCAGGAAACUGGGGCUAAUACCGGAUAGGAGCUCCUGCUGCAUGGUGGGGGUUGGAAAGUUUCGGCGGUUGGGGAUGGACUCGCGGCUUAUCAGCUUGUUGGUGGGGUAGUGGCUUACCAAGGCUUUGACGGGUAGCCGGCCUGAGAGGGUCACCGGCCACAUUGGGACUGAGAUACGGCCCAGACUCCUACGGGAGGCAGCAGUGGGGAAUAUUGCACAAUGGGCGGAAGCCUGAUGCAGCAACGCCGCGUGCGGGAUGACGGCCUUCGGGUUGUAAACCGCUUUCGCCUGUGACGAAGCGUGAGUGACGGUAAUGGGUAAAGAAGCACCGGCUAACUACGUG